UACGUAGGGGGGCAAGCGUUGUCCGGAUUUAUUGGGCGUAAAGAGCGUGUAGGCGGCCUGACAGGUCAGCUGUGAAAACUCGAGGCUCAACCUCGAGACGUCGGUUGAAACCGUAAGGCUAGAGUCCGGAAGAGGAGAGUGGAAUUCCCGGUGUAGCGGUGAAAUGCGCAGAUAUCGGGAAGAACACCCGUGGCGAAGGCGGCAUCCUGGACCGGCAUUGACGCUGAACAGCGAAAGCUAGGGGAGCAAACGGG
rnacentral:rRNA from 1 species